CCCUCAGAAGGGAUUUCCAUUUUUCGCGGUCCAGUGCGGCCUCCUCCAGCUCCGCCCAGCCGAGGCCAACUGGUGCAGCCUCCUUUUCCACUGUGCGCCUCCAGGUGGCCUUACACUUAUUCCGGGAAUUUUCCAAGUCAGCCCUUGCUUGGAUAUGUGGUUGUUUGGCCUUCGUAAAACAUGACCUAUCCAGCGCCAUUUUCGCAGAAGUACCUUCUUAGCUAAAGGGUUUUUGGCCAGUAGACUCCUAAGAUUCGCCGCAGACACUUGUUUACAAACACCUGGAGUCUACUGGUUA